CCGACCUAGACCUAGACGCCCAUCCCAAUCGCAAACAAAACCCUCACCAGUCACCACCGUGAUCCAAAUCCGUUACCCCUUCUAAUCCAUACUCUCAUCUCUCAAUCACAGACGAAGCAAUCGCCCUCGAUUCCUGCACACAGCAGAAACUUCCUCUUCUUGUGCUCGAUUCAAUACAGUUAAACUUCAAGGACUUCCGGCCGUGGAAAACUGAAGUUAUCUCGAAGAAAGUAGUUAUUGCACUUGGCAAGAGUGUAGCUGGAAGUAUCGAAGAGUAAGCUGUCAAGCGAUCUGAGGAUGCACUGAAUUUGUAGCUAUGGAAUACUGUAAAAUUUUCCCAUGGUGCAUUUAGGUUAUUCUUGUGCUGGGUAAGAGCACAGAAGUUGUUGGAGUUGGAGCUGAACAAGGAACCAUGGGUAACAAGAUGCUGCCUCUAGAUGAGUGUAACCAAUGUGACUGGUUGGAACUCCUCUUGUAACUUUUGUGGACUAAAAAACAGCUUUCCUUUAUGGACAAUGUUUAUAUUUAACAUGUACUACAAAUGAUGUUCUUACCAACAAAUGCUUUACAUAUUAUCUGCAAGAGUGCAAG